AUAAUUAAAUUACCAAAACCAACAUGUAGCUAAGACUUACAAUAAAAGGUCAAUGUGAUUUGACUCCUUAAGUUAGGAAGGGACACUGGUGAAUUCCAAUUGCUUUAAAAUCAUGCUGCUUCAUUCUAUUUCUGGACUGGAAGGAUAAACGAGACUGAAAAAUAAUUUAUUUCUCUAGAAGGAAGAGUAAAUCCUAGUAUAUAAUUAUGUAUAUUCAAUUAUAAUAAUAAAUGUUUAGAUGUGUUUGGUGGUUAUCAUAGUCUCUAAUUUAGUUGUUUUUGAAGUAAAUAUAGUUUGGAGGGGUCGUUUCAUGAGAGCAGUAUUUUGAAAAUAAUGUUUAUAAGGGGUGCUUCAGAAAUUUCUUCCUUUUCCCCAAAUAAACUAGUAAAUAGGUGUGCAUUACGUGGUGAUUCAUAACAGCUAAAAUAGGUCUGUGUCUGGAAUGUCUUUUACAUAGUAAACAAAACAGGCACAGUAAAAGCAAAUACAGAUUUAAUCUGUCAACUCAACCAAAAGUCUCCAUAUUAAUUUUAAAUCCUUGUUAAGAAAAGGACGGGCCAGGAAUGUAUUGGAUUUCAGUACAGUUAAUGAAAAUUAAUUUUACAGGUGGUGUUUGGUUGUGUUUCUUCUGCUGUGGUGAGAUGGGUGGCUGAGCCAAAGUGGGCACAGCACACAAUUUCAGCUCUGUGCCAGAGAAAUGCUUAGAUUAGAAAUGAGCGUUUGGCGUGGAGUUGUUGGUGCUGUUGUUAUUUACUAUCAGAGGAGCAGAGCGUUUAGCGCUAUGAUUUGAUUUGAUUUUGCAGCUCCUAUCCCCUUAAACAAGCUGUGUAGCUUGUCAGAGAUCAGGACAGGUAGAAUGCACAGCAGGCGUCUGAUUUGAGCCAGUUACUCAUUUGCUGAGUGUUUGUGUUUAUGCAAAGGGGCCUCUUCCUGCAUAUUUAAUCUAGAGUAAGGCAGUGGCUUUUGUUGUGUUUAGACCACAUACCUUCAGUCCUUCCUUACACUGCAGCCAGUGUUGAAGCACAGAAAGGCUUGAUAGUCAAAAGUGCUUUAGUGUUUUCAAACUCUCAACUUUCUGCAGUUGGUUGGGAAUUACUGUACAGCUCUAAGCCUUUUUCUUCCUCAUUAAUGGGCUUCAAUAUUUAAAGGCUGUUAAAGGA
rnacentral:lncRNA from 1 species